GAUUGUUGCUCUGCUGGGCAACAGUGUGUGCUUCAAGCACAGGUGCAGCGCCAGUUGGACACACAAUGUGAUUAUGCAUCAAUAACUGGCUAUGCUUUUCAGCCACCAGUAAAGCUGUAAUGAGCUCUGGAUGCAAGGUAAAUAUUUAGCCUUG